rnacentral:lncRNA from 1 species
GCUUGGGCAUAGGCACGGCACAAGAUGUUCCUUCUCCUUCCUUCCUUGCAAUAGUCAUGGCAUAAGAGAUUUAGAACAGGUUUUGGGUGGUUUUUAUGGUGUAGAAUGGAUGGGGAAUGGUAUGGAAAGGUUUAGGGUUGAUGGGUGGUGUGGCUAAGGGUGGUGUUUGGCUGAAUUUUUAGAGAAUGGUGAUGGAGAGGUGCGGCUAAGGUAAGGGAUCAAAAUCUGUUCUCUUU